UGGCGUCUGCCAUGAACUCCUCUGUUCUCAGAGUGGACACAAUCGGCUCGGCUUUUUUCCAUUGUACUGCCAAAAUUCACCGAUUUCGAGCGCCAAAGGCAGCUUUUCAGAGGGAAUACAGAGGACUUAGAUGAGGUGUCUGGGAAGGCUUCUCCAUUAGCUUGGCUGCAUAAAGUGUUGGUCCUAUCUGAGCCACCGUCAGGUAUGUUCUCAGUGUGCCACCAAGGAAUAAUUGUUGUGAACCUGGCAGGAAUCAGGUGACAGAAGCUUCUGUGGCUCUUGUGUUCCAGGUGUGUCUGCAGGGAGGACUUGUCUAGCUGCUUUGCUGAUUCCUACACAAAAGCCCAGCUCCCAUGGCAGGGGUCCUCCGAGGGGAAAGAACAAAGCUACAGGACACCAGAAACCCCAUGAGCCAUCCAAAAACAUGAGGCAAAUGCUGAAAGAAUUGCUGCAGGGAGGAGGACAAGAAGUGGAUGGAGAGGCUGGGCAGAAGGCGGCGUUUACCAGAGGAAGCAGUGGCUCCAUGACAGCCUCUGCUGUAGGACUGGAGGCGAUGCCAGGCACAGGCCCAGGAGGUUGGGAACAAGACAUGGAUUAUCUGGGAAACCUGCUGGAUUAUGGCUUGAGACUCAUGGGAAAUCCUGGAGGCAAGUGCUCAAUGUACCUUUCCUGAGAGAAUACGCAGUGAGCAGGUGUCAAGAGCUCAUACAUUUGCCCUUUCACUUAAGAUCAUCUGAAGGUUGAUGGAAUAUGGAAAAUUUCCUCUGCUCCCUUCUGGAGCCCUGAGGGAUCCCACAGGAUCACUGUUAGUGGGAGGAAGGAGCAUUUAGCUGUCCAUCUUCCUCCUGUGCAAUGCCCAUGUGUCCUUCCAUGUGUUCUGUGCAGCCACAGAGAAGAGCAGAGAGGGAAGGGGCUGGGCCCAGGGCUGUGCCCCAGGGCUGAGCCUUGUGGGCAGCCUGAGGAUCUCCUGCAGUGCCACAGGAGCUCUUCUGUCCUGCCUUUCUUUGCAGCUGAACCUGCUGGUGAAGGUGGUGCAGCUUCCCAACCCACAUCCAGGACUGAGCCUCUGGGAGAUGCUGAGGGUAGGUCAAGGCCUUUCCCCUGGGAGAGCUGCCAGAUCAGAGCCCAAAGCUGGGCCAGGGGGGCAUCGCUGCAGGUGCCAGCACAGAACCAUGCACGUGUGUGCCCUCGCCCUGCGCGAUCCCCUCACCGCUCCUGCGGCUCAGGCAUGGCAGCUGUUUGGAAACAGGGGAGCCCUGACCCUGCCCUGAAAGCCAAGACAUUUUCUGAAACCUAUCCCCAUGUUUAACACGCAUGACAUCCUGAAGAUGCCGGCACCCAAAUCAGGAAGUCUUCCAUCUAAUCCAACUGUCCUUUUUCCUGUCUGAAGUGAUGGGCCAAACAUCUGUGCAGAAGGAGGCACAUCCUGGAGGAAGCAUUUCCCCAUGGGUAGCCCCUGCUGCAGGAAGGAAGGCGAUGCCAGACAUGGGCACAGGCACAGCAGAUGCAGCCAGCACCACAACACGUCUUCCCCAUGCCCAGGAAGGCCUCGGAAGUGUCUUCUAUAUGGGAACAGGCUGCUGGGCAGGGUUAAUGGCAGCCCUGCUUCUGUUGGACCUUACUCUCAUAUUGUUCUGUGUCAGAAUCUGGUGUAACUGGAAGAAGAAAUGGAGCACCUCUGGACAGGAGUUUAAAGACGGUGGCUGCACCUCACUCCCAGACAGUUUGAGCUGCUCCUCUGGCCGUCAUAAGGGCCUGGACAGCCCUCUCACCUGUUCUGUGAAGGGAACCCAAGAACAGCCAUCUACAAGGAAACCUCCUACUACCCUGUAGAUCCCACUGCCACCUGCUCUCCCCAUGGGUCUCCCCAAGAUGACUUCAUCCCUUUUUUGAUCUCCCUGCAUCCCAUCCCAGCCAAUUCUCAAGUUCUUCUGGAGACCCCAGGCCCAGCUGAGCACACUCCAGUCCCUCCUGAGACCAACACAUCCCUUCCUCUGCCCCUCAGCUCCCUGGCCUUGCCCUCUAAACAACACUGGAGUUAAGCCCUGCUGCCCCGCCAGGGUAGGCGAUGGCCCCUUCUUCUCUUGCACUACAGAGAUGGAGCUGUCACCCCAGUGUCUGGAGGUAGCAGCAGCAAAGC